GACGAACGCUGGCGGCGUGCUUAACACAUGCAAGUCGUACGGUAAGGCCCUUUCGGGGGUACACGAGUGGCGAACGGGUGAGUAACACGUGAGUAACCUGCCCACAACUUUGGGAUAACGCUAGGAAACUGGUGCUAAUACUGGAUAUGUGCUCCUGCUGCAUGGUGGGGGUUGGAAAGCUCCGGCGGUUGUGGAUGGACUCGCGGCCUAUCAGCUUGUUGGUGGGGUAGUGGCCUACCAAGGCGGCGACGGGUAGCCGGCCUGAGAGGGUGACCGGCCACAUUGGGACUGAGAUACGGCGCAGACUCCUACGGGAGGCAGCAGUGGGGAAUAUUGCACAAUGGGCGCAAGCCUGAUGCAGCAACGCCGCGUGCGGGAUGACGGCCUUCGGGUUGUAAACCGCUUUCAGCAGGGACGAAGCUUUUUGUGACGGUACCUGCAGAAGAAGCACCGGCUAACUACGUG
rnacentral:rRNA from 1 species